UUUGGCCUUUGGCAAUUCAGUAAACAUUUUAGCAAUUUCUUCUUUCCUGCCUGCUGAAGACUGACUUCCUCCUGCUGCCAAAGUUCUAGAGUCUGGACGUCUGAGAUCAGGGUGCCAGCACUGUCGAGGUCACAGACUGCAGACCUCCUUGUAUCUUCAAAUGGAGGAAAGAGGACAAGAGAGCUCCUGUGGUCCCUUUUAUCAAGAUGAAUGCACAAGGAAAAUGUUGUACAUUUGCACAUUGGAGUACACUUCAGCCAUAAAAAGAAUGAGAUGCUGUCAUUUGCAACAACAGUUGAAGCCUAGUCAAGAAGAGGGCUCAGAGAAGCUUGACUAAAGUUUCAUGAAGAGAGUCUCUGUCAGUGGUGGGUCUUUGAUUCUCAAGGAAGCUGUCAGAAGCUUCAUCUAACUUCUCUUCCACUCUACUUUCUUCUGGGGAAGAAGUGACCCAACAAUUUGAUCUAAUAUUUGCCUGAUAAUAUUGAACAUCCUUGCAUCCAUUAAAGUUUACUGUUCUAAGACUUACUUUAACCAAGGUCAACAGCAAUCUGAGACACACUCUUCUCAUGGCAGAUUAUGGGACCAUAAAGCAGGAAUAAGAACCACAGCGUGAUAUUCU
rnacentral:lncRNA from 1 species